CAGACCCCCAAGUGCCUUGUCUGCAGACAACCUGUUUUAUGAAUGCUGGCAGCCAGAACAUGCAUGCAGUGCUUCAUAAUGCGCCCAAGAUCAAAGCUUUCAGUGAAAUUAGCCAAAGGGGAAAGAAGCAAGUCUUGGAAGAUCUGAAUGAGUCUCUGGGAGAUGCAGAACCGUGGCCCAUUACCAUGGUCUCCAGAUCACUUCAAGGCUCUGGGACAGGGUGUCUGCUCACUCAAAGGAAAGACAAUUCCAAAGCCAGCUUGUCUUCCUCACAAAGUUUCUUAUACAUAUGUACACAUAUAGCUGGUUUCUAUGCAGCUUUACAUUUACUAGUAAUCAGAUAGUUGGCCCUCCUAAUUACCUGACCGUGUACAAAGGAAACUGCAGUUACAAGGCUGCACUUAUGCUUUAGCUUCCGUGUUGAUGUUUAGACAGCUUUAUUACAAUGCAAAUCCAGGGGCUGAAACUCUGGCACUGCAGAUAAUUCCCAUGUGGCAACUGUAAGGUGGCUGGAAAUAGCCAAGAGAAAUACUCACAUGGUAAAAGGAGGAAAAUGCUUCCUGCAAAGUUUUGAGCCAUUUUAUUUUUCCUGACAUGGAAGAUGAAGAGAUUGGGAUGUCCUACAGUGCAGUUAUUCUGGACUACUAUCAAUGCAGAUAGGAAAGCCUUUCAAGCCAGCGUUUCAAAACACCUUACAUGUCAUUUGAAGAAUUGAAACAGACUAGAUGGAAGCUAGAUUUCUCUCCUCAGAGGGAGAGAAAGAGCUAGGACUGAAAUUAAAUGGUGCGAAAGAAAUGCAGCUAGGAAUGAAGGAGCCAGCCUGCUCUAGGAACUCUGCCCCUGGAACCUUGACAGAUAAGAACUGCAAGAAACAGGGACAUGAUUACUAUGGAGAAGGUGGACCCUGAUGGAGGGAAACCUGACUCACCUUGUGGAAGAAUUCAGCAAUACCUGAUAAUAUCUUAACCGAGGGAAGCUGACAGAGACCUCCCUCUCAGACAGGUUUGAUGAGGAGCAGUCACUUUCAAGAAAGUCUUUUGCCUUUGCCCUGAUUUCCCCAGCAUUACCAGAGGUGAAGCGAUCAUAACCAGAUGUUAUAGAUCAAAAAACAGGGUUUUUUCUUGCUACCACUGUACAUUCAUAAGUUUGGAAUAUGCCUCCCAAGGGUGAAAUCAUAAAGAAGUGAAUGUCGCUGCAGGUCCUAGCUUCCUUGCUUCAUUUUGCAAUGGAUACCACAAAAAGAUUGUCAGUUCUAGGAAUUCUCCAUGUAGGAAUGAGAUCAAAAGAGCAAGGAAGGAUUGCUUGUUUCUUUGUUUUCCCUGUAAGUUUCAUCUUCUACGGAACAUUCUCUUUUCAUGCAUAUUC
ensembl:lncRNA